GAUGAACGCUAGCGGCAGGCUUAACACAUGCAAGUCGAGGGGCAGCACGAUGUAGCAAUACAUUGGUGGCGACCGGCGCACGGGUGCGUAACACGUAUGGAAUCUGCCUUGUACUGGGAGAUAGCCCUCCGAAAGGAGGAUUAAUAUCCCAUAAUAGCUCGAGUGGCAUCACUUGGGUUUGAAAGCUCCGGCGGUACAAGAUGACCACGCGCACGAUUCGCUAGUUGGUGAGGUAACGGCUCACCAAGGCUACGAUCGUUAGGGGGCCUGAGGAGGUUCACACCCACACUGGUACUGAGACACGGAACAGACUCCUACGGGAGGGAGCAGUGAGGAAUAUUGCGCAAUGGAGGCGACUCUGACGCAGCCAUGCCGCGUGCAGGAAGAAGGCGCUACGCAUUGUAAACUGCUUUUAACCGGGAAGAAACCCCAGGACGUGUCCUGGGUUGACGGUACCGGAGGAAUAAGCACCGGCUAACUUCGUGCCAGCCGCCGCAGUAAGAC
rnacentral:rRNA from 1 species